UACGGAGGGUGCAAGCGUUGUCCGGAAUCACUGGGCGUAAAGGGCGCGUAGGUGGCCUGUGGAAGUCUGCGGUGAAAGCCCGGCGCUCAACGCCGGGUCGGCCGUGGAUACUCUCGGGCUCGAGCUUACUAGAGGCAGAUGGAAUUCCGGGUGUAGCGGUGGAAUGCGUAGAGAUCCGGAAGAACACCGGUGGCGAAGGCGGUCUGCUGGGGUAAUGCUGACACUGAUGCGCGACAGCGUGGGGAGCAAACAGG
rnacentral:rRNA from 1 species